rnacentral:rRNA from 1 species
UACGUAGGGCGCAAGCGUUGUCCGGAAUUAUUGGGCGUAAAGAGCUCGUAGGCGGUUUGUCGCGUCUGUCGUGAAAGCUUGGGGCUUAACCCUAAGUCUGCAGUGGAUACGGGCAGACUAGAGUCAGGUAGGGGAGAACGGAAUUCCUGGUGUAGCGGUGAAAUGCGUAGAGAUCAGCAGGAAUACCCGUGGCGAAGGCGGCCCCCUGGGCCCUAAAAACCCUUUUCAUGGGAAACCAUGAGGAAACCUGACGCUGAGGCGCGAAGGCUAGGGGAGCGAACGGG